GGGGUUGUGGCUCAAUGGCAGAGCACUUGCCUGGCAUGCAUGAAGCACUGGGUUUGAUUCUCAGCACCACA
rnacentral:tRNA from 1 species